rnacentral:rRNA from 1 species
UACGGAGGGAGCUAGCGUUGUUCGGAAUUACUGGGCGUAAAGCGUGCGUAGGCGGUUACUCAAGUCAGAGGUGAAAGCCCGGGGCUCAACCCCGGAACUGCCUUUGAAACUAGGUAGCUAGAAUCUUGGAGAGGUCAGUGGAAUUCCGAGUGUAGAGGUGAAAUUCGUAGAUAUUCGGAAGAACACCAGUGGCGAAGGCGACUGACUGGACAAGCAUUGACGCUGAGGCACGAAAGCGUGGGGGAGCAAACAGG